rnacentral:rRNA from 1 species
CCUACGGGUGGCAGCAGUGAGGAAUAUUGGUCAAUGGGCUUACGCCUGAACCAGCCAAGUCGCGUGAGGGAAGACUGCCCUAUGGGUUGUAAACCUCUUUUGUCAGGGAGCAACGCCGGCUACGUGUAGCCGGACGGAGAGUACCUGAAGAAAAAGCAUCGGCUAACUCCGUGCCAGCAGCCGCGGUAAUACGGAGGAUGCGAGCGUUAUCCGGAUUUAUUGGGGUUCAAGGGGGCGUAGGCGGAAUGCCAAGUCCGCGGUAAAAUCGCGGGGCUCAACCUCGCUCCUCCGUUGAAACUGGCGUUCUUGCUUGGGCGCGACGUAUGCGGCAUGCGUGGUGUAGCGGU